rnacentral:lncRNA from 1 species
CCCCAAAUUUCCAUAUUUCCCCAAAAUUCCUCCUGGAACCCCCAAAAUUUCCAUUUUUCACUCAGAAAAUUCCCUUUUUUCCCCAAAUCUCCAUUUUUUACCCCCAAAAAUUCCCAAUUUUUCCCCCAGAAUAUCUCCAGGAACCCCAAAAAUUCCCAUUUUUCACCCCAAAAAUUCCCAUUUUCUCCCCAAAAUUCCCUUUUUUCACCCCAAAAAUCCUCCCCAAACCCAAAAAUUUCCAUAUUUUCACCCAAAAAUUCCCAUUUUUUACCCAAAAAUCCCAUUUUUUACCCAAAAAUUCCCUUUUUUCCCCCAAAAAAGGCACCAAAACCCCAAAAUUCCAGAGCAUUUCCUUUAUUGGGGGAGGGGCCCCGAAUUUCCCCAAUUUUGGGGCUUUUUGGGGCAAAACCUCCCCAAUGUUUUUACUUUUUUGGGCAAAACCCUCAAAUUUGGGGAUUUUUUAGGAGAAACUCCAAUUUUCACAAUUUUCGGGAUUUUUUUAGGGGCAAAACCCCAAAAUUUGGGAUUUUUUUGGGAGCUGAACCCCCAAAUUUUGGGGUUUAUUUGGAGGCAGAAACCUCAAAAUUUUGGGAUUUUUUUCCCCCCAAAUUCUGGGAUUUCUUUGGGCUGGAAAUUUUCCCAACUUUUGGGGAUUUUUGGGGGGCAAAAGCUCCAAAUUUUCCCAAUUUUGGGGUUUUUUUGUUUAUUUUGGGGCCGAACCCCCAAAUUUGGGGAUUUUUGGGGUUUUUUUGGGGGGGGUCCCUCCGACAGCGCCGAUUUUGGGGGGAGGGGAGGGGAGGAAGAGGAAGAGGAGGGAGAGAAACCCAAAGGCGGCGAGGCCGAAGGCUCAGGAGGAGGAAGAGGAGGGAAUACAACCGAACCCGACGAGGCCGAAGGCUCACGAGGAGGAGGAGGAGGAGGAUGAAGGCCCCUCAUUUCACAGCGAGGAUGAUGAGGGUCCCUCACCCCCCUGAGGAGGAGGAGGAAACCCAACCCGACGAGGCCAAAGGCUCAGGAAGGGGAGGAUGAUGAUGAUGACGACGAAGGCCUCCCCCUCUCGUUUCGCGGCGAGGAUGAUGAAGGUGAAGACGAUGAAGACGACGAAGCUCUCCCAUCCCCAGGCGAGGAAGAUGAAGGUGAGGAUGAUGAAGGUGAUGAAGGUGACGGUGAAUUCCCUUCCCGGGGCUGAUGAAGACGAUGGUGAUGAAGGACAGGAUGACGACGAUGAUGAUGAAGGUCAGGACGAGGAGGAUGAUGAAGGUCAGGACGAGGACGAUGAGGAUGAUGAUGAAGCUCAGGAGGAUGAUGAGGAUGAUGAAGGCCAGGAUGAUGAAGAUGAUGAAGACGAAGGUGACGAAGGCGAGGAUGAG